rnacentral:lncRNA from 1 species
UGGGCCUUUCUUCUGUAUUUCCUGAUAACCCCCUGUAGAAAUAGACAAACACCAAAACUCGUGGAAUUCUGUCAGAUAAAACCCUAAGUCUGGGUGUUGGUUGCAUUUGGAUCCUUUUCCAUGAUUAAUUGAUGGUUAAAUAUGAGCAUUAAGGACCGUCAACGAGCUCCCCCAAGCUUAAACUUUGCUCGUCCCUGAGCAAAGAUGAACUCAAGAGUUUCUGCAGUGGUUUCAUGCCUUAAAGAUACACAUGCGUUCAAACAAGAUCUCAUCUCUGGGUUAGGGUAAACUGUUAAGAUUUAAACUUACUCAUAUUACCUUCCACCAUGGGGCUUGCAACCGUCACUUGUGUCUAGAGUAGUUAAAAGAUAGAACGGUCUAGUCAAGCGCCAUGUCUCUUGUUCUUCGAUUAACUAUAGCGCUAGAGUUUUUGCAGAUUUUCAAAUAAAACUCAGAGAUUCCUUGUAUGACUCUCUCUGGUCUCUCAUUUGUGGUAUUUCUGGAUCCUUACCAAGGCAGUAAUGGUGUAUGCCUUCUCUCAAAGUAUGUGGUAUUUUUGGUAUGAGGCAUAGUGGCAUUGCCUUCUCUCUCACCCUACUCUAAUAAGGUUUUGAUAUCUGGAGCUCAUAGGUGGGAGACAGCUAAUACAUACUUACAAGACAUUUAUUGCAUAGUCAAACCAUGGAUCCAGAAGAACAAGUCAAUAAGUCAAAUCAAGAUGUGCAUGUGUGGCGAAUGAAUGAUGUAUGGUAAUGAUGGUGAUAACAAUGGUGAAAGUCUAAUUCUACUUGUGCUCUUUUGAGGGGAUACAUACCUUUCUUGCUCUUUUGAAACUUUUUGAGGAGAAUGAGAUGCUCUAUAUUUUCUUUUUCUUUUCUCUCAGAUGGGUAUCUUGUACCCCUAAUUCUACUGUCGGACACUUGUCCAUUUUUACCUCUCGUCUCACUUUUUCUUUUCUUUCGAGGUUCCGGGCACUUGCCCCUUUUUAUUUCCUCGUAUUCUUUCUUUUUUUUCUCUCUCUCUUUUUUUAGAGAACUCAUCUCCUGAAAUAAUAUAGCAAGUGGUAGUAACCAAGAUAACUUGAGCAUUUAUUUCAUAGGGAAAAACAGAAAUGUUUUUGGCUAUUCUCUCCAGGAUUAGGAGUAGAAUAUUUUUAGGUGAUUCUAGAGAUGGAAAUGGGUGGAUAUAUGUGGAUGCGUACUUCCGGAGUAGAAGCAGCAUGUGUGAGUGAACGUGCAAGUGAAUCUUGACUUAGUCACAUGACAAGCUCCUAAGGGUCUACACAGCUUGACCACACUCAAUGCUCAUAAGCAGUAAAAAGUAAAUGUGUGGCUCAAAGUCUAGCAAGCAUGUAUAUAUGGCUGUGGUAGGAAUUUAAACUCUCAUCAUACAGGAACUCAUCAUGCAACAUUUUAAAGAUUUUUUUCAAAGAUAAAAUUCUCCAGAAUUCUAGCAUCUCUAGGAACAGAUAAACAACAGCUCAACCUUCCCAUAUCAUAUCCGUUAACAACUUAGACUUUAGAUCAAGUACUCUCCCCACAAGUUCAGGUUUAGAGCAAAUCUUAAUUCAUAACAGUGAUGCCUAAACUUGAGAGAGAUUUCAAUUUUGUGAACUAGUCAUGGCAGAGCAACUAUUCAUCAUUUUCAUGUGAGAGCUUAUCAUGAGGGUUCAUAGCAAACUUUAUUUAUUUAUUUAUUUAGCAAACUAAGCAAAGACAUAUAUAAGCACAGAAUCUUUAUUUUGGUUUUUAUGAUUAUGUAUCUUUUUAUUAUUUGAGUAAAAUAUAAAUGUGAGUAGAACACUUAGUUGGAUAAAUGGGGGUGCUCUCCCCCAAGCUGGAUUUUGACGUAAUUCCUUUUGAUGUAGCUAGCAAGUGGUGGAGGUGUAUUUGAAUGUCGGUAGCACCCUGACAGCAAUUAGGAUAUCCUCCGUCUGCUAGUCUUCUUUGAUCCUUGAAUUCUGUGGAGCUCAAAUAGAUAAAAAAAAGCUUUGUGGAACUGGUUAAGUGUUAGCAUAAAUAUCUAGCCUUUAUCAUGUUGAGUCUCCUCAAUAAAUGUUACUCUCUUUAGUAGGAUCAUUUAUUUAUUUUUAUAUUCUCAUUUUUAUAGGACAGGAAUAUAUUUAUUUCAUUCUUACACCACCACAGUGAAUGUACUUAUGGGUUUUAUGCCAUGAGCAUACUCACAUAGGGCUUACUAUUUUUAACAUUUUUAUUUUCUUUUUAAGAUGAUGUGAACCUGAUUAACUAAGCAAACUAUUUUAAAAUAAUUGAAAGGAAAAGGAUAACUACCAAGUUUACCUCUUGGCAAGGCGUUCGGUGUUUUUAAGUCCUCCGAACGGGACUCUCCGUUUCCUCAGUCGUCCUGGGAUUCGCUGGAUGGCGUAGUCGGUGGUUCCGACAACGCCUGGUCUUCAUGUAUAACUAUCUUCUCUCUACACACCUGACUCGGUGCUACGGUCUCCUCAGAACAAUUCUGUUCAAGUUGUAUGUCUUCAGACCUCAUCACUUCUCCUUCGUAGUCUGCCCAUCCGUCCUUAUUGAUUUGCCUCCUCUGGUUGCGGUUGCGUCGUCUUCUUCUUGUCCUAACCUGCUUAGAGUCUUCAACUAUAUAGUUAGGGUCAGUAAAACAACGACGUACCUUCUUAGAGGUGAAGUGCAUGUGGACUUCUCUAGUUCCAAUGUAGAUGAUUGCUUUAACGGUGCCGAGGAACGGUCUUCCAAUUAUGACGGGUGGAUCGAAUUCGUCUUCUCCCAUGUCAAUAACUUGAAAGUCUCUCAGAAUGUUUGAUCUGCCAUCUAGAGCUGAAUGUAUGUCGGUUUUAGGGGCAUGGUUCCGAACAGGAGCUGAUAAGUGACUGCGGCCAUUAUGUUGACGUCAGAUCCGAUGUCGUAGAGUGUAUUCUGAAAAAAAUAUCCGUUGAUUGUGCACUCGAUGCUUGGAACACCAGGGUCGUCCUUCUUGAUCAAAAAAGGCGACUUGAGUUGACAAUCUUGACCUCCUUGAACUGUAGUGACCAUCUUAGUUGACUCAGUCCACAUUUGCUUGUUCCUGUUCCCCCUUUUGAUCCUCUUCCUUGGUUCAUGUCGGGAUUGCUUUGAGAUUUGUGUAGUCUUGUUCUUGAAGAAAAACGUCUCCUUCCUCCCCUUGAUGUAAAAACUGAUCUUGGCAGCACUAGCGUAGAUGACACCUCCCGAGGUGUUUAGGAAUGGCCUCCCUAGGAUGAUGGGUGCCCUCUCUGUAGGAUCUCUGGACGUACAGGAAGUGGCCUAGAGGGGGGGUGAAUAGGCCUGUUCAAACUUUUUCAGCAGAGUUUAUCAGUCACACACGCAAGGGCGGCACUGCGGCCCUCCCAGGGCGGCACUGCCGGCCUCAACAGAAAAACAGACAGAAGCUUAACUGAAUGAUUCAAACUUUACCUAGGGAAAUUUAGAUCGAUUAAAUUUCCAAGCUUCCUGCAAGAUAUUAGAGCACGAGUAUGUAGCUAGAAUGUGCUGGAGCCUCCCCACCAAGUAGAUCGGCCUCAAAUCCUAACACAAACUCAUACACAAGUGAAAGCACACAAGAUACACGAUUUUUACCGUGGUUCGGCUGUUGCCACAACAAGGCUUGGCCUACUCCACGUUGUUGAGGCGCCCACACUAGGACCGGCUUAGCCACAUAGGCUUACCUUCUCCUCGUUCUCAAAGCAAGGAUUUUACCCCUUGCAAAGAGUGAAGAAUGUAUUAGCUGCAAGGGUAACCUUACAAACCUUCCCUUGGCUGCCACACACGUUGGCAAGCUCUAGGGCGACGCCUAGCCGGCUAGGAGCAAGCUCUAAGAGUAACAAACUCAAGGCUGCCGGCCAAACGUGAACCAAAAGCUCUUUUUGACACUGGGAAUCAAUGGAUCUGCUCUCCAAUCGAAGUUUGCUGUCUUUUCCCUCAAGUUUUGAUGGUUGGAGUCAAGGAUUGGCUUGGAGGCUUGAGGAGCAACAAUGGAGGGUGAGAGAGGUGAGCUCUGGUCAGUUUGGAAUGGUUGGGAGCGAGGAAGACGAGGAGAUGACCGUUUGAAUCGGUCUGAAUGGGUAUUUAUACCCAGCUCUCCAACUGUCACAGGGUAUGGCGGCAGUGCCGCCCUUAACUGGCGGCAGUGCCGCCCUUGCCUGAACCAGCCUGAAAACACCAAAGUGUACAGAGAAAGAUAUGCUGGCUAGGCUUGGGUCUGAGGAUGUUGAGAAGCUUUUGAGCCUUUGGUUCACAAUUUUGAUCAACAAACUUGGAGUCCCUCUUUAUAGUACGGCUUUUCCUAUACUCAAAUUCAAACCGAAAACGAAUUAAACCUCCUUUGGAGCUAGGAAAACUAUCUUUUAGAAAUGGGGGAUCCUCCAUGGUAUUCAACAACCUCUUUGCUAUAUUCCCUGCUUGUAAUCUCAGCAAAUCUCAUUAGUUCCCUAAUUCGGUGGUCAUCAACGCCAAAACCCACAAUAGGCUUGAUUUGCACUUACAAUCUCCUCCUUUUUGGUGAUUGAUGACAACCAAAUUAGAGCUUACAAAUAAUAAUAAUCAUAACUGAGAUUUAAAUGGUCAUGGGCAUAGGAGCUCCCCCUAAAUCUAUGAUUGGAGUUUUGAAUACUCAAACUUGACAUGAAAUUCAAGCUUCAUACAUUUAGCAAGUGAUGGAGGACCUCCCCCUAUGUCCAUGACCUCUGUGGGGUGCAACAAACUGUGUCACAAAAACAACCGUGUAUGCAUAUGACAGUUUAUACAAGCAGGACAGCAUGCUGCUGUAGUAGAGGGCCUCACUGCCGCCCUAGUAGGGUGGCACUGCCGCCCUUGCUACACCAGCAAGCUGACAGAAAUUUCAAAAAGCAUUACACCACACAAACAGGUUAACCAACAGAAUUUAAACUAAUAAAUAAGCCUGACAAGCAGUUCACAGGUACAUGUUCACAUCCGAAGCAAAUAGAGACAAAUAAGUAGCAUUAUUACAACUUAAAAAUAGUUUUUGAAGAAGCACUCAGCUCACAAACUAACAACUAACACUCUCAUCGGAUCUAAACAUGAAGAUCUGCAGCUGCAGUAACGAAGUCCAGUCGAAAAGAAUUGAACCCUCUAGUUUCUCUAAUUUUCUCCCCCUUUGGCAUCAAGUACCAAAAAGAGAAAAGAAGAGAGAAAGAAGAGAGAACAACUCACUCAUCAUCGUCAUCAUCGUCACUGGAAACCAGGGCACGACCAGCCCUAUGAGUAGUAGCUGUGAAGCGAGAUGCACGCAUGGAACGUCGAGGAGCAGCCGCUGAAGUGCUGGCCCGCCGCUGUCUAGUCUCAUCCCUGAACUGCCAGUAGACACUGCCUAGUGUCUCCUGAAGAUCUGGAUCAUCAUCAUACCCCUGGUGCUCCUCGUAGCUGCCAUGUUCUUCAUCAGACUCUGUGUCACAUAGGUGAGGAAGGUCUGGAAACUGAGGAGGUGGAGCAACGGGCGGAAGAGGAGGUAGACCCUGAACCUCUCUAGCUGCAUUAUUGCAUGCCUGCUCUCCAUCAUGUCAUCAUACUGAUUCUAUGCCAUGUAAGAGCAAGUGCCAAAAAUAGCCUUCACCCAUUCUGCCAACUUCUGAAAGCGCUUCUUCUUCCUUCCAUCUCUCCUCUGUGGCACACUGUGGCCUCCCUCACUAUGGUAUGAGCUCUCUACUGCAGGAGGCGGGGCUGUUUUACCACCUUUAGUUUUCUUGAUGUUAUACACAGUGUGGCUACAAUCCUUAGGAUAUCUAACUCCAGUCACUCUCUCAAUCAUAAACAUCAGAUAAGGAGCAUAAGGAAGUGCCCUCCUCCCAUCAUCCAUAGCAUAUGCCAGCUCUACCCAUAUGAACCUUGGGAUAUUAAAUUUGUCCCCUUCUGGAAAUCUGGACAGCACAUUAGUAAUAUGGCCAUUUAGAUCAGUGGCAUUGUCUAUUGGGUUGAGUGUCAUUUUGAUAAGGUUGUUCAUCACAUAAUAGAAACUCUUCAACCCAGUCCUCCUGUUGUUCACUUGGGUUGGAUCCUCCCACAUAAAACUCACCUCAUGUGGCUCAAACCUUCUCUCAUUGUGAAUUCGAGAGUAGGCUCUAUGGUCAUUUCCAAAACCCAAUAUCCUGCAGAAAGUGAUGAAGUCAAUCCUGUAAUGUGUGCCAUCUGUCAUCCAAUGCACCUCAUCAUUGUCUCUGUUCCAGAAGUAGGUAGCAUGAAACUGAGCAAGUAUCUCUCUAUUCCUGUCAUAUUUAAAGGACAUGAGAGUGGACAGCUCAAACUUAUCACAUACUUUAAUUGCAGCAUCAAAAUCAGGCUCCUCUUUUGCUUGCAUAGCAUCAAAAUCAAUAAAAUGCAUCUCACAAAUCUUAGCCCUUCUAGCUGGUAGAAUAGCAGUGGCAUAGAAAUUUGAAUGAAAAACAUUCCAGAAACGAUAAUCAACCCCACUUAUCUUGCUGUGAGCAUAGGGAUCCAUCUCUCUAGCUUCCUCCACAGCUUUCCAGCUUGCUGCAUAAUUGACUAAGGGAUGAUCCACUGUGUCAUUUGGUGCCUUGACUUCAAACUCAUCAGUGCUGUCCCUCAUGUAGCUGUCAUCAAACUCUACAAUGUGUAGGGGAGUGCUAGGACAACAUCUAGGAGAGAUGGUGAAACCAGCCUGCUGCAACAUUUCUUCCUGCUGAAUAUACUGCUGCCUUGCUGCUCUAUCAUCUCCAAAGAAAACUCCAGAGCUGCUGCCUCUCCCCCUGCCUCUGCAAACUUGUUGCUUGGUGGAUAUUUUCCUCUUUCCUCGGUCCAUCUAUGCCAAAAAUUGAGCCAAAUCAGAAACUGUACAUCUGGCAUAUAGUAGAGCAUAUGUAGAGUCAAUUGAUCAAGUGAGAUGUGUAGAAUAUGGACUGUGGGAACUCCCCUAACCAAACUGGUCAGGUGAGGGUGGCACUACCGCCCUCUGAGGGCGGCCCUGCCGCCCUGCAGAGUUUCUGCAGUCCCUACUCUACACUUCAUCACUUAUUCAACUUACACACAUGUGCACCACUAUCCAUCAUACAAUCUCUAAGACAGUUCAUAAGCAGACUAAGUCCAGAUGAGCAUGAGCUUAAAGAGGAUGGACAAACAAACUAGGAUAGAUUUAAUCUAUGAACUUUAAUCGAUUCACCUUCCCUUCAACGUAUUGAAACUACAGAGAGGCAGUUGCCAAGGCCGGCACUGCCGACCUUAAGCUCCGGCACUGCCGGAGGGCAUCUUUCAAUAUGUCGAGAGAAACCAAAUCCAUUUAAAUCCAUCCACUAAACCUCUUCCUAAUUCAUCAUCCAUCCCCUAGAAACUGAAACUUUUGCCCAAAAAGUAGACAUUGCAUAGAUUGGGAUUGGUUAGGGUUUCACCUUGCUUUGCUUCCUUGGAUUGAGGGGAUGAGAGAAGAAUGCCCCUCCUUGGAGAGGGAGCAGCACACCCCAAUGCACCACUGGAGGUGACCAAGGAGGCCUUCCCCUUUCUCCUUCUUCUUCACGGCAGAGAAGUGGCCGAUGGGGAGAAGUUCCCUGGAGCCGUGCAUGAGGAAGAGAGAGAGACAGAGAGGGAGAGAUGCGGCGCAAAGAGGAGAGAGGGGAGAGAGAUCACGGGCAUGACUAUAGAAGGAAAGAAACAGUGGGCCCGUGAGACCCAGUCCAAGGCGUUUUUAGCCUGAACCGCUUAGGGCGGCACUGCCGCCCUCCUUGACAGCAGAGGGAUUAAAAGAAAAUAACUUUUCUCUAUUGCUUUAGAUAUGAACACAUACAACCCAAACACCAUGACUAGACACAAGGAAACAAUCAAACUAUAGUCAUGAUAUUUGAGACAAAUUUUUAAGAGGUUUUGAAAGACAUAAUUAAACCUUUUCAAGCACUUUCUCCUAUGCAUGCUAGUUAUUCAAACAAGGUGUGUGCUGGAGUUCAAACCACGUUACGAGAAUCCAAGAUAUUCAGUUCACUACGCAAAGCACAAAACCUUGCCUCGUCUAGAGGCUUAGUGAAGAUAUCGGCUGCUUUUCGGUGCUUACAUGGCGAAUUUCGAUAUCUCCUUUGGCUUCGUGGUCUCUCAAGAAGUGAUGUCGGAUGUCUAUGUGCUUGGUUCUUGAGUGACUUACAGGGUUGUUUGCAAGUUUUAUGGCACUUUCAUUGUCACACAAAAGUGGGAUUUUGGUGAAUUGACAUCCGAAAUCACGAAGGGUUGGCCUCAUCCAAAGUAAUUGAGCACAGCAUGCACCGGCUGCAAUAUACUCGGCCUCAGCUGUGGAAAUGUAACAUCCCCGAUGUUAAGGUUACUAAAAUCGGAUCAUGGCAUCAUCAGCAUUGCACAGCAUAGUUGUUAAGCACACCUUGAUGCAUCAACUUAAAAUGAGUUUAAUUUGGUUGAAUGUGCUUAGGGAAUGAAAGUGUGUUUAUCUUGUUAGUGAGGCUUGAGUUGGUUGCUAGAACCCUAGGGUGAAGGUUUUCCGAAGGCUUAGGGGGGAAAAACCCUGAUUUCUGGACCCUAGAAUUGCCCCUUUUUGUACAAUUCAAAAACUAAGCAAAAUUUGAGGUUGAGUUCAAAAGCAAAGUUGUAGAUAUUGUCAAUAUGUACAACUUUGGUGUUUUGAGUUUUUGAAGUUUUAAUACAAAAUUCAAAGUAAUUUUGAAAAUACAGAUUUCCAAAAAGUGUCCCCUUUUCCAAUUUAAACCUCCAAUUCAAAAUUCAUUUGGAGUUUUGAAAAGUGGUCAACAUGAAAGUUGUAGAGCACAAAAAGUUGAGCAACUUUCAUGUUGGGAGUUUUUCAAGUUGUUUAGGAAAAACAAAAGUAAUUUUGGAAAUUCUGAUUUGCCCCAAUCCAAAAAUUUGAAUUUCCUUUGAAUUGAGUUUUGAUUUUCAAACUGUUUGGCCAAAUUAACCUUGUUCCACUAAAAAUUGGCUUGGUUCACCAAAACAUGUUUUGUAGCUCACAAAAUUUGGUACAACUUUUGUUUUGAUGGAAUCUUGUGUUCAGUUCAAAUUUUGGGUGAAUUCCACAAAAGUCAGAAAAGGGGGGAUAAGGGUCUGCUACAGUGAUCCGAUAUGGAUCACCGGCUCCCUGUCCAGCGCAGCCGCCGCGCGAGCAGCGCCGCGCGCAUGUGUGCGUGCACGCAGCUGCUUGCUGCCAGGGUCGCCAGGCAACGUGGAUGCCCCGGGCUUGCUUUCCCCUCCAUUUGAGCGCAGCGUGGACGACGCCGUGCGUUUCCUCCGUCCUGAGCCAAAGAACCCGACGAGCCUUUCUCUCCCAAAUUCACCAUAACCACUCCUUCCCGAGCCAAAUUGAGCAACCCAGAGUCUUCGUCACCUUCGUGCGAACCCAGUGCACCCCCAAACUCCCUCUCUAACCCCUCAAACGCCAGAGCUCCUCCCUCUUCUCCAACUCCGGCCGAGACCGCCGCCGCGGAGUUCUUCGCGUGGCCACGGUGUUCCAGUGAGUAUCACACCCCGCUGGCGACUGUUUCAAGUUCCUUCCGUGCCCCGGUUGCUCAUGCGCUCGCUCCCUCUCUUUGAAUGUGAGCAGGAUCACCGGAACGAGCUUGCCGGAGCCAGAGCCCCCGCCCGACGACACUACCUCCGUCGCCAGCAGCUUCAGCUGCUUCCCCGAGCCUUGCAGCGUGAGCACCAUCCUCCCCAACCCCUGUGGAAGCUCGCUAGGCCGUCGGCUUGCACUCUACCGGGUCCUGGUGGCCGGCCGAUAGUCGGCCAUGGCGGCCGUCCGCCGGUGACGCGGUUGCGAUAGACAGAGGGCGGUAGAGCGCGAGUAAGUGCUAGAGAUCGGUCUGCGGAAGUGAGGCGGAGCUGAUGCGCACACGCGCGGGGGCCGGGGACCUCGCUAACGGCCGCCGGAGCUGCGGAAGCGCCGUCGCGCGUGAAGGGGACGAAACUGACAGGUGGGGUCGUCCUGUCAGUGUCUCGCCGGAAGAGGGGGGGGAAACCUGACGAGCAGGGCCCGCUCGUCAGUGACCGCGCGGAGAGGAGGCAGCGCGCGCAGCGUCCGCGCGGGCCGAGCUGAAGCGGGCCGGCCUGCGGGCCGAAUCCCGGCCACCCGCUGCAAUGUCUUUUCCUUUUUCUUUUUUUGCAGUUUUUGUUUUAUAUUUGAAUUUUUGUGAUAAAUUGUGUGAUGAUCCAAAAAUAAUGAGAAUUUUUGUAUAGACUCCCUGAAAUAUGUAGGAUCCAAGAAAAAUACUAGAUUCUGUUUUCUGAUAGUUUGCAAGGGUAUAACAAUUGGCUCCUUUAAUUAGCAAAUAAAACUUGCAUGAUUUUUUAUAAUUUAUUGGUAUGUCCAAAAAUCACCAAAUUUUGUGGAAAGCCUUUGAAUAUUAUUUCCUGGCUCCACACAAAUUUUGGUGACAUUUGGAUAAUGUUUGAAUAAAACAUUAUUAAACCCUUAUUUAGUGAUUAAAUAAUAAUUCCAAAGUAAGUAAACAAUGAUUAGUUAAAUCCUCAUAAUUAGGGUUUUAGUGACUUUAGGAUUAUGUGAAGACCUGAGGUCAUUAACCCUAAUGACCUUUGGCACUUAAUUAUUGGUUGGCCUUAAUGCUUAAUUACUGUCAUUAGUACUUAAUUAAGAAUUAAUUUAGGUAAAUAGGGAUAGUAAUUAGUCGAUUUAAGAUCAUUAUGAAUUAAGAGAAGUCUUAAUUUACAGAUGCAACUUCUUGGGUAAAAACAAGUUUAUUUAUGGUUUAUUCUGUGUUGCACCAAGAAGGCAAGUUGUACUCGACUUGACCCUUCUUGCAUAAUGAUCAUACGCAUAUCAUGAGCAUUCAUCAUUUUGCGUAUAGUAUCCGUGACCGAAGGAGCGCCCGUUGAACCGAACCCCGAGGUCGGUGCUCCGUCCGAGGAAGUCGAAUCCGAGACUUGGGAAGUCUCCGAGGGUCCCUCUCUGCCCUGCAACCAAGGCAAGCCCCGGACGCAUUAACCCCUCCUUGAAAGUUUUAAAUCUUUUGUCACUUAUGAAUUGAAAAUGCUGCAUUAGGUAGUUGAGAAUUGGGUUAACCUACUUGCUGCAUUUACUACCUUGAUAGUUGUUAUCCUGUCCUUGACACCUAUUUUAUUUCGAAAUCGCGUAGUGAUGCUUAGCCCUGCUACUAGAUAGGUUUUCAAAUAAGAAAGUUUGAAGGGUUGUUGUGGAAUACACUUAUGGUCAAUGAUGUUUCAACUUGAGACCGGUCGGUGGACUUGCUUUAAGAAUGGAGUCUUAAAGUAGUGUCUCCAACUGUGUCUAUUAAGGACCGUUCCGUUGAUGGCCUGCUGGGUUGAGAAUUUAUAGUACUAGCCACUUGCCCUCGGUAAGCCCGGUCUUGUGAUCCCUCGACGCGAACAGCUACUCGCGCACUGGGAGUGGAAAGAUGGCGAGAGUAACGUGUGCCCACCUUACGGAUCUGAGAUGACCGGAAAACAUCUAGAUCGGCUGUAGGAUGGUGGGGUACUGUGCUCUCGGGUGCCGCGAACCUGGUCAAAUUUGGGGAGAGCUUGAUUUGGGUUGACAUAUGCAAGAUUUGGUUCUACAUAUGUCGGGUGGUUAGGAACUCCAGCUGGAUUGCUAAGCGAUUCGAAUCGUCGUUGCUCCCCAAUUGGGAGACUCAAUUCCUUCGACCCUCAUCGUAGUUAAAUAUGCAAUUAAGUGCUAAACUGAGAAAGGGGGAAAUGUCUCAUGAGGUUCGGAUCCCAAUUCCCGGACUCAUAGCGACAUGAAGCUAUGGCCAUCGAAUAAAUAAUACUUUAUUUUAGGACUAGGAACUCACAGACUCGUCUGUGGGGAAACAACUAGUUAGACUGUCCUCGAACUCCUCGGCCUCGACGGGAGAGGAAUUCGCAGGUAAAACUUGAAAGUAAGGAUACACUAUUAGUAAGCUUUUUAGCAAAACACUUUGGCUCCUUGCUCAGCCACUCCUUGCCUACCCUAAGCCUGCAUUCCUAAGUUCUCCUCUUUUUCUGCCGGAUAAGUCUUGUUGAGUACUCCCGUACUCAGGGUUUUAUAACCCCUGUUGCAGGUGAAGCUCAGGAGCCGACUUGUUUCGGACCCUGUUGUGUGACCGUCGUCGAGGUUGACGACGAAGAAGAGUGAACGUGACCCAUGGGCAGGGUCUGUAAAUUUGUGAUCAAUGUACUAAAGUUUAAGUUGCUCCGCUGGGCCUGGGUUGUAAUAACACUCUGCUAUUUGGAAGAACUCCUUUUGUAAAAUAAGUUAUGUAAUACUUCCGCUAUUUUACUCUAAAAUAUUAUUUUGGUCGUAUGUCGUUUGUGGUACUGCAAUGUCUUCGCAACGAAUGAUCCUGGUGUUAAGGUGGCCACUUGCUAUCCUGUAAGGGCGAGAAGAAGAAGUUCUCGUUAAUUGACCAUCACCAGUGGUCAGGACGAGCCGGCUUGGCACGCCACAGGUAGCAGUGGAAUGAGCGUCCAGCGAUGCUCAUCGGACUUCUAAAGUGGGAGGAUCCCCGGCAUCGCCGUCAGAGGUCCUUAGGACAAUGACAGGUGUCGGUGGGCCCAAACACUUAGGGGGUUCUGCCACAGCUGGUAUCAGAGCAUUCGUUGCUAGGAUGACUGCUGUACCUCUUGAAAACCUUCAAAAUUCAUUUGGAUCCAAUACUAUAAACUUGCCUAUUUUGAGUCCAAGUGCUUAGUCCUAACUUACCCCUAUCUGUAGGCUUUCGUAGAAUUGUUGGAGUGGUAUGGAGGAGCAACUUAAGUAUUGCCCUAUGUUGUAAAGUUUUAAGUAAUAUUGUUACGAAUUUCUAGUAGGAAUCGUAAGUUCGUGCAUGCAUCAUGAUAUAUCACUUGAUUAAAAAUUUCCUUCUUCCUUGUUCGGGAUGGGUUGUAUAGAAUCAAUCCUAUUCUUGCUAACCUUUAAGGUCUCCCUUACUAAUCUAAACUUACCCUCUACAGGAUGCCUCGUUGGAAACUGACCCCGCGCAAGAGGACAGGUCCAAAGGGGGUCCCCAGACAUCAGUUGGCCCCGCGAAGCGAUCAAGCAAGUAGCAGCCGUUCACCGCCUCAGCAGGAGGUGGACAGGCUGUCCGCCGAGCUGACUGAAGUCAUGAGAGAAAGGAUGUACAAUGUCAUGGAGAUCGGCGAACUUAAAGCUCAACUUGCCAAAGAAAAACAAGCCACAGAGAAUUGUGAGGCCAUGCUGUCCCGUAUGGUGGAGGAGAGGAAUGCCGCUGUCGCCCGAGAGGAAGAGGCCAGGAGCGCGCACCGGCACAAGCUGAUCAGGAUGAAGGCAAAGCUGGACAAAACCAAGUAUCUUAAAGACUUGUACGUGAAGAUGGCGGCCACAGUCACCGCGCAGCGGGAUGUCGCGUGGCAGCGGGAAGACCAGCUACAGCUGGAGAAGCUAGAGCUGGCGCAUCAUUUGGACACCGUCAAUGACUUGGCAAUGCAAUAUCGUGAUAUUGCAUUUGACUUAUAUCAUCAGCUCCAUCCACCUCCAGGCGAAGGAGAGAUGGAUACGGAUGGAGAGUUGGCAGACGACGGGGAACCUGAUCAAGAUCUCAGUGACGGGGAGGGAUCUGACUCCGGUGAUGAUAAUCCGGGGGGUAACCUUGACGAUGGUAACGACGACCCGGGCUAUAGUUCUGGCCACACCGACUAGUUCGGUAGAGCCGCGGGCAACGCCGUUGUAGUGUUAUUAGUUCACCGUAGUGGAGUCGGGUUUGUAAUAUAAAGUCUCCUUCCAGUUUAAGCAGUUGUACUUGUUUGCUCCUGGUGUGCCGAACUGAUGUUUAAUAAAUAAAUGGAAAUGUGUAAGAUAUAUUCUAAAUUAUGGAUGUUAUGUGGUAACGAGUACAUAUAACUUUUGUAACAGAUGCCUAUGCGUACUCGAGGAUCUGAUGGAGCCGGGACAUCCCAGGGAGGGGGUGAUAUCCCCAACCCUCCACCUGCUCCACCUUCUCUGGCUGAUGCCAUUGCUGUUCUGUUGAAUGCUACUACGGACAAUGCUCGCUUACUGUGCGAGCUAGCACAACGUCAACCACACCCCGCCCCAAAAUUCAAGGCACCACACAAUGGGGAUGGAGAAGCUCGGUACGUGGACUUUACCGAGACAAGGCCCCCGGUUUUCACUAAGGCCGAUGAGCCGUUAGAAGCGGAUGACUGGCUCCGAACCAUGGAGCACAAGUUCAGUUUGAUUUAGUGUUCAGAAACUCAGAAGCCCUUGUUCGCAGCUCAUCAGCUUCGGGGAGCUGCAGGUGCUUGGUGGGAGAACUUCUUAGCGAUCCAAGCUCCCGGACACCGGGUUACCUGGACCGAGUUUAAGGACGCGUUCCGCGCCCAUUACAUCCCUGAAGGGCUCAUGGCCAUGAAGGCCGAAGAGUUUCUCGCCUUGCAGCAAGGCGAUAAAAGUGUCAUGGAGUACGUGGCAAAGUUUAAUCAUCUUUCUCAAUAUGCCACGGAUCAUGUGAACACGGACAGGAAGAAGAAGGCUUGUUUCAUGCGUGGUCUAAAUACCAAACUUCAGACCAUGAUGACCACUUGCCAAAAUGCUACCUUCUAUGAGGCGGUAAAUAUUGCCAUCGCCUCAGAAGAAAAGAAUAGGAAGCACAAAGAAGCCAAGAAGAAGGCUGCUUCUUCCUCCUUCUCUGGUCGCGGUCAAAAGCGCCAGAGAAUCAUUUAUCAUCCUCAGGGCCACGAACGUUUUCAAGCGCCGUCACCUUAUUGUGGUCCCUUUUCCCCACCAUCAUAUAGACCAGGGCAGCAGGUAUACACUCGACCUACUGCCAUCGCUCUUACACCACGCCAGCCGAACGCCCCAGGUGUUCGCCCUACUGCUCCGCCCAGCCACAAUUACCCUUGUUUCAAUUGUGGUAAGCCUGGGCAUUUUUCUAAAGAGUGCCCGUUCCCCCGCCAAACCAACCCUACCUUCCAAAGGCCACCUAUGGGCCAACCCCAGCCGAGUCAGUUCAGGACUGGGGCUCAGAAAGGGCAACAGGUACAGAAAGGUAGACCGGUAAAGAAGACGGGGCAAGUCUUCCAUACAGAAGUGGAGACGAUUCCAGAGGGUGAACCAGUAAUGAUGGGUACGUUUCCUGUCGCGAAACAUCCUGCGUUAAUGCUCUUCGAUUUUGGUGCAUCUCAUACAUUCAUCAAUCGCACCUUUGUGUUAAAGCAUGGCAUACCCAUUGGGGAAACACAGGAUCAUUUUUAUAUACAGUCGCCAGGGGGACGGCUGAUGUCCAAAGAAAUGGUUCACCAAGUACCCAUCGAAUUUGGUGGGCACAAUUUUCCUACUAGCAUGAUUGUUCUUAAGGACCAAGAGAUUGAUGUCAUCUUAGGCAUGAACUGGAUGGCACAACGAGGGGUUGUGCUAGACACUUUGCAUCGAACCAUUAAAAUCCCAUUGCCCAAUGAGAACUCCUAUCUGCUAAUUCAAUUAAUUACUCCCAAGCGGGCAAUUGGGCAAGUUCAUGCCACUAAUGUAUCUGCAGUCAAAGAUAUCCCGGUAGUCCGAGAUUUUCCGGACGUAUUUCCUGAAGACCUACCAGGUCUGCCACCGGACCGGGAUGUUCAGUUCAUUAUAGAAUUGAAGCCAGGUACAGUCCCAAUAUCUCGAAGGGCCUAUAGAAUGGCACCGAAAGAGCUGGCAGAAUUAAAAACCGAACUACAAGAGCUGUUGCAGAAAGGUUUCAUUCAGCCCAGUUCCUCUCCAUGGGGUUGCCCAGCCUUAUUUGUGAAAAAGAAAGAUCAGACGUUAAGGCUGUGUGUUGAUUAUCGUCCCCUAAAUGAGGUGACGAUUAAGAACAAGUACCCAUUGCCCCGUAUUGACUUACUAUUCGACCAGUUGGCCGGGGCUAAAGUGUUCUCAAAAAUUGAUUUGAGAUCGGGGUACCACCAAAUUAAAAUUAGGCCGGAGGACGUACCCAAGACGGCUUUUACAACUCGUUAUGGGUUGUAUGAAUACUUGGUGAUGUCUUUUGGAUUAACUAAUGCACCGGCCCAUUUUAUGUACCUGAUGAACUCUGUCUUCAUGCCAGAACUAGACAAAUUUGUUGUCGUCUUUAUUGAUGACAUCUUGAUCUAUUCCAAGACCAAGAAAGAACAUGCUGAACAUCUGAGAAUUGUACUAACCCGCCUCAGGGAGCAUCAACUAUAUGCCAAGUUCAGCAAAUGUGAGUUCUGGCUAGACAAAAUUCAUUUCCUGGGGUCAUGUGUUAUCAGCGGAGGGAGUCGCUAUAGACCCAGGCAAGGUAGAAGAUGUGUUGAAUUGGAAACCCCCGACUACGGUACAUGAGGUCCGUAGUUUUCUGGGUAUGGUGGGAUAUUACCGUUGUUUUAUCCCAAACUUUUCCAGAGUCGCCAAACCAAUCACGACCUUGCUCAAGAAUCAAACAAAAUUUGUUUGGUCACCUCAAUGUGAGCAAGCCUUUCAGGCUCUGAAAAGGUUAUUAACAACUGCACCUGUCUUAGCCCAGCCAGAUAUUGAAAAACCCUUUGAUGUGUAUUGUGACGCAUCAGGGAUUGGGAUAGGCUGUGUGCUAAUGCAGGAGGGUCGCGUAAUUGCAUAUGCUUCCAGACAGCUUAAACCACAUGAAGAGAAUUACCCGACCCAUGAUCUUGAACUAGCCGCCGUGGUACAUGCACUAAAGAUCUGGCGCCAUUAUCUGUUGGGAAACACAUGUCAUCUAUACACAGAUCACAAAAGCUUGAAGUACAUCUUUACUCAAGCCGAGCUUAAUAUGCGCCAACGAAGGUGGCUAGAACUAAUCAAAGAUUACGACCUUGAGGUGCAUUAUCAUCCUGGCAAGGCAAGUGUAGUAGCUGAUGCCCUCAGUCGUAAGGCUCACUGUAAUUGCUUAACAGUGACGCCUAGGGAUAUAACUUUAUGCCAAGAGCUAGAGAACUUGGGAAUAGAAAUGAUUUCCCAAGGAAGCCUCGCCAAUCUAUAGAUCGAUUUUAAUCUCGAAGCUCAAAUUAUAGAGGCACAAAAAGAAGACAAAGGGAUGAAAUACCUUAAAGAGAAAAUUUCUAAUAGAACACCCACAGACUUUAAGGUGGAUGAUGCAGGGGUGGUCUGGUUCAAGAACCGGAUAGUAGUUCCAAGGGUACCUGAGCUACGUCAACAAAUCCUGGAUGAAGCUCAUACCACGAGGUAUUCUAUUCAUCCGGGAAGCAAUAAGAUGUAUCAGGACCUAAAGCAAAGGUUUUGGUGGACAAAAAUGAAGAUAGAGAUAGCUCGCUAUGUAGCCCAAUGUGACACCUGUCGAAAAGUCAAAGCUAUUCAUCUCGAAUCCGCUGGGGAGUUGCAACCUUUGCCUAUCCCAGCAUGGAAAUGGGAUGACAUAAGUAUGGAUUUCAUAGUAGGAUUGCCCAAAACAGCCAAAGGCUUUGAUUCAAUCUGGGUCAUAGUGGAUCGUCUCACCAAAACAGCACAUUUUCUGCCUGUAAAGCUAUUGUAUCCUGCCUCCACCUAUGCUAAGAUUUAUUUCGAUCGUAUCCUAAGUCUGCAUGGAGUGCUAAAGACAAUAGUGUCGGAUAGAGGCACACAAUUUGUCUCCCAAUUCUGGAAAUGUUUACACGAGUCCCUGGGCACUAAACUUUUAUACAGCACAGCCUACCACCCUCAAACCGGUGGGCAAACUGAAAGGGUGAAUCAAACCCUAGAAGAUCUAUUAAGAUCUUGUGCCCUGAAUUUUCUAGAUAAGUGGGAUGACUGCUUGCCUCUGGCAGAAUUUUCUUACAACAAUAGCUAUCAAGAGAGUAUCAAAAUGGCUCCCUUUGAGGCAAUAUAUGGCCGUCGAUGUCGAACUCCCUUACACUGGUCGGAACCCGGAGAAAGAUGGUUCUUCGGGGUUGACUUAGUAAAAGAGACUGAGAACAAAGUGAGACAAAUCCAAAAUAACUUGAAGGUUGCUCAGUCCCGACAGAAAAGCUAUGCCGAUAAAUGACGUCGACCAUUAAGGUUCGCCAAAGGUGAUCAUGUAUAUUUGAAAGUAUCCCCAAUGAAAGGAGUAACUCGUUUUGGUGUUAAAGGCAAGUUAGCGCCCCGUUACAUUGGUCCAUUCCCAAUUAAUGACCGAUGUGGACAGGUAGCCUACCGCCUUAAACUGCCCGAACGAUUAUCCGGGAUACAUAAUGUGUUCCAUGUAUCUCAACUGAAGAAGUGUCUUCGAGUACCGGACCAAAUCCAAGAUAUUGAAGAUGUGAAACUUGAACCGGAUUGAACUUAUUCGGAGUAUCCUGUCCGAGUACUGGAUCAAAGAAAUAGAGUUACUCGAAGAACGACUACCAAGUGGUACAAGAUACAGUGGAACCAGCACUCUAAAGAGGAAGCCACCUGGGAAUCUGAAGACUAUCUAUUGGAGAAUUUUCCUGAAUUCCACGCUUCUCUUCAGGACAAUAUGUGAUAAAUAGGGAGUGUACUCUAGUGAAGGGAAAAGAGUAGCCAAAGCCAUGUACUUAGUAUACAUAUAUGUUUAUAAUUGAGUAACCUUCCCCAACUUCCUGCUUUAUGAGGAAAUUGAAGAUGAAAGAGUUUUGACAAAUUUCCUUUUCCAUUACUUACCCUAAGGCUUUAAAUCUCGGGGGCGAGAUUUCUUUAAGGGGGGCGGGCUGUAACAUCCCCGAUGUUACGGUUACUAAAAUCGGAUCAUGGCAUCAUCAGCAUUGCACAGCAUAGUUGUUAAGCACACCUUGAUGCAUCAACUUAAAAUGAGUUUAAUUUGGUUGAAUGUGCUUAGGGAAUUAAAGUGUGUUUAUCUUGUUAGUGAGGCUUGAGUUGGUUGCUAGAACCCUAGGGUGAAGGUUUUCCGAAGGCUUAGGGGGGGAAAAACCCUGAUUUCUGGACCCUAGAAUUGCCCCUUUUUGUACAAUUCAAAAACUAAGCAAAAUUUGAGGUUGAGUUCAAAAGCAAAGUUGUAGAUCUUGUCAAUAUGUACAACUUUGGUGUUUUGAGUUUUUGAAGUUUCAAUACAAAAUUCAAAGUAAUUUUGAAAAUACAGAUUUCCAAAAAGUGUCCCCUUUUCCAAUUUAAACCUCCAAUUCAAAAUUCAUUUGGAAUUUUGAAAAGUGGUCAACAUGAAAGUUGUAGAGCACAAAAAGUUGAGCAACUUUCAUGUUGGGAGUUUUUCAAGUUGUUUAGGAAAAACAAAAGUAAUUUUGGAAAUUCUGAUUUGCCCCAAUCCAAAAAUUUGAAUUUCCUUUGAAUUGAGUUUUGAUUUUCAAACUGUUUGGCCAAAUUAACCUUGUUCCACUAAAAAUUGGCUUGGUUCACCAAAACAUGUUUUGUAGCUCACAAAAUUUGGUACAACUUUUGUGUUGAUGGAAUCUUGUGUUCAGUUCAAAUUUUGGGUGAAUUCCACAAAAGUCAGAAAAGGGGGGAUAAGGGUCUGCUACAGUGAUCCGAUAUGGAUCACCGGCUCCCUGUCCAGCGCAGCCGCCGCGCGAGCAGCGCCGCGCGCAUGCGUGCGUGCACGCAGCUGCUUGCUGCCAGGGUCGCCAGGCAACGUGGAUGCCCCGGGCUUGCUUUCCCCUCCAUUUGAGCGCAGCGUGGACGACGCCGUGCGUUUCCUCCGUCCUAAGCCAAAGAACCCGACGAGCCUUUCUCUCCCAAAUUCACCAUAACCACUCCUUCCCGAGCCAAAUUGAGCAACCCAGAGUCUUCGUCACCUUCGUGCGAACCCAGUGCACCCCCAAACUCCCUCUCUAACCCCUCAAACGCUAGAGCUCCUCCCUCUUCUCCAACUCCGGCCGAGACCGCCGCCGCAGAGUUCUUCGCGUGGCCACGGUGUUCCAGUGAGUAUCACACCCCGCUGGCGACUGUUUCAAGUUCCUUCCGUGCCCCGGUUGCUCAUGCGCUCGCUCCCUCUCUUUGAAUGUGAGCAGGAUCACCGGAACGAGCUUGCCGGAGCCAGAGCCCCCGCCCGACGACACUGCCUCCGUCGCCAGCAGCUUCAGCUGCUUCCCCGAGCCUUGCAGCGUGAGCACCAUCCUCCCCAACCCCUGUGGAAGCUCGCUAGGCCGUCGGCUUGCACUCUACCGGGUCCUGGUGGCCGGCCGAUAGUCGGCCAUGGCGGCCGUCCGCCGGUGACGCGGUUGCGAUAGACAGAGGGCGGUAGAGCGCGAGUAAGUGGUAGAGAUCGGUCUGCGGAAGUGAGGCGGAGCUGAUGCGCACGCGCGUGGGGGCCGGGGACCUCGCUAACGGCCGCCGGAGCUGCGGAAGCGCCGUCGCGCGUGAAGGGGAUGAAACUGACAGGUGGGGUCGUCCUGUCAGUGUCUCGCCGGAAGAGGGGGGAAACCUGACGAGCAGGGCCCGCUCGUCAGUGACCGCGCGGAGAGGAGGCAGCGCGCGCAGCGUCCGCGCGGGCCGAGCUGAAGCGGGCCGGCCUGCGGGCCGAAUCCCGGCCACCCGCUGCAAUGUCUUUUCCUUUUUCUUUUUUUGCAGUUUUUGUUUUAUAUUUGAAUUUGUGUGAUAAAUUGUGUGAUGAUCCAAAAAUAAUGAGAAUUUUUGUAUAGACUCCCUGAAAUAUGUAGGAUCCAAGAAAAUACUAGAUUCUGUUUUCUGAUAGUUUGCAAGGGUAUAACAAUUGGCUCCUUUAAUUAGCAAAUAAAACUUGCAUGAUUUUUUAUAAUUUAUUGGUAUGUCCAAAAAUCACCAAAUUUUGUGGAAAGCCUCUGAAUAUUAUUUCCUGGCUCCACACAAAGUUUGGUGACAUUUGGAUAAUGUUUGAAUAAAACAUUAUUAAACCCUUAUUUAGUGAUUAAAUAAUAAUUCCAAAGUAAGUAAACAAUGAUUAGUUAAAUCCUCAUAAUUAGGGUUUGAGUGACUUUAGGAUUAUGUGAAGACCUGAGGUCAUUAACCCUAAUGACCUUUGGCACUUAAUUAUUGGUUGGCCUUAAUGCUUAAUUACUGUCAUUAGUACUUAAUUAAGAAUUAAUUUAGGUAAAUAGGGAUAGUAAUUAGUCGAUUUAAGAUCAUUAUGAAUUAAGAGAAGUCUUAAUUUACAGAUGCAACUUCUUGGGUAAAAACAAGUUUAUUUAUGGUUUAUUCUGUGUUGCACCAAGAAGGCAAGUUGUACUCGACUUGACCCUUCUUGCAUAAUGAUCAUACGCAUAUCAUGAGCAUUCAUCAUUUUGCGUAUAGUAUCCGUGACCGAAGGAGCGCCCGUUGAACCGAACCCCGAGGUCGGUGCUCCGUUCGAGGAAGUCGAAUCUGAGACUUGGGAAGUCUCCGAGGGUCCCUCUCUGCCCUGCAACCAAGGCAAGCCCCGGACGCAUUAACCCCUCCUUGAAAGUUUUAAAUCUUUUGUCACUUAUGAAUUGAAAAUGCUGCAUUAGGUAGUUGAGAAUUGGGUUAACCUACUUGCUGCAUUUACUACCUUGAUAGUUGUUAUCCUGUCCUUGACACCUAUUUUAUUUCGAAAUCGCGUAGUGAUGCUUAGCCCUGCUACUAGAUAGGUUUUCAAAUAAGAAAGUUUGAAGGGUUGUUGUGGAAUACACUUAUGGUCAAUGAUGUUUCAACUUGAGACCGGUCGGUGGACUUGCUUUAAGAAUGGACUCUUAAAGUAGUGUCUCCAACUGUGUCGAUUAAGGACCGUUCCGUUGAUGGCCUGCUGGGUUGAGAAUUUAUAGUACUAGCCACUUGCCCUCGGUAAGCCCGGUCUUGUGAUCCCUCGACGCGAACAGCUACUCGCGCACUGGGAGUGGAAAGAUGGCGAGAGUAACGUGUGCCCACCUUACGGAUCUGAGAUGACCGGAAAACAUCUAGAUCGGCUGUAGGAUGGUGGGGUACUGUGCUCUCGGGUGCCGCGAACCUGGUCAAAUUUGGGGAGAGCUUGAUUUGGGUUGACAUAUGCAAGAUUUGGUUCUACAUAUGUCGGGUGGUUAGGAACUCCAGCUGGAUUGCUAAGCGAUUCGAAUCGUCGUUGCUCCCCGAUUGGGAGACUCAAUUCCUUCGACCCUCAUCGUAGUUAAAUAUGCAAUUAAGUGCUAAACUGAGAAAGGGGGAAAUGUCUCAUGAGGUUCGGAUCCCAAUUCCCGGACUCAUAGCGACAUGAAGCUAUGGCCAUCGAAUAAAUAAUACUUUAUUUUAGGACUAGGAACUCACAGACUCGUCUGUGGGGAAACAACUAGUUAGACUGUCCUCGAACUCCUCGGCCUCGACGGGAGAGGAAUUCGCAGGUAAAACUUGAAAGUAAGGAUACACUAUUAGUAAGCUUUUUAGCAAAACACUUUGGCUCCUUGCUCAGCCACUCCUUGCCUACCCUAAGCCUGCAUUCCUAAGUUCUCCUCUUUUUCUGCCGGAUAAGUCUUGUUGAGUACUCCCGUACUCAGGGUUUUAUAACCCCUGUUGCAGGUGAAGCUCAGGAGCCGACUUGUUUCGGACCCUGUUGUGUGACCGUCGUCGAGGUUGACGACGAAGAAGAGUGAACGUGACCCAUGGGCAGGGUCUGUAAAUUUGUGAUCAAUGUACUAAAGUUUAAGUUGCUCCGCUGGGCCUGGGUUGUAAUAACACUCUGCUAUUUGGAAGAACUCAUUUUGUAAAAUAAGUUAUGUAAUACUUCCGCUAUUUUACUCUGAAAUAUUAUUUUGGUCGUAUGUCGUUUGUGGUACUGCAAUGUCUUCGCAACGAAUGAUCCUGGUGUUAAGGUGGCCACUUGCUAUCCUGUAAGGGCGAGAAGAAGAAGUUCUCGUUAAUUGACCAUCACCAGUGGUCAGGAUGAGCCGGCUUGGCACGCCACAGGUAGCAGUGGAAUGAGCGUCCAGCGAUGCUCAUCGGACUUCUAAAGUGGGAGGAUCCCCGGCAUCGCCGUCAGAGGUCCUUAGGACAAUGACAGGUGUCGGUGGGCCCAAACACUUAGGGGGUUCUGCCACAGGAAAGGGCUACACAAUUUUGCUUUUUAGAACUCCAAGACACUAAGGACCGUCCAAGAAAUUGACAUGUCCCCGAAGUGCUUUUUCUAUCUACUUUGCAACCGGCAUAAUCAGAAUCUGAAUAGCCAAGUAGAUUGAACUUGGAGCCCUUAGGAUACCACAAGCCAAGGUUAGGAGUAUGUACUAAAUAUCUCAAGAUUCUCUUAACAGCCACUAAGUGGCAUUCUUUCGGAUUAGCUUGAAAUCUAGCACACAUGCACACACUAAGCAUAAUAUCAGGCCUAGAUUCGCACAGAUAAAGUAAAGAGCCGAUCAUGGAGCGGUAUACCUUGAUGUCCAUGUCCUUCCCUUUAUCAUCAAGAUCAAGAUGUCCAUUAGUUGGCAUGGGAGUAUUGAUAGGCUUUGCUUUCUCCAUGUCAAACUUCUUCAGCAUAUCAAGGGUGUACUUGGUUUGACUUAUGAAAGUCCCUUCCUUCAAUUGCUUGAUUUGAAACCCGAGGAAGUACUUCAGCUCACCCAUCAUGGACAUCUCAAAUCUCUUUGUCAUGAUCCUACUAAAUUCCUCGCAAAACACUUGAUUAGUACUACCAAAUAUUAUGUCAUCGACAUAUAUUUGGCACACAAAUAUAUCAUUGCCAAUUUUACGAGUGAAGAGAGUAGAAUCAGCUUUGCCUAUUUCAAAGCCUUUCUUGAGCAAGAAAUCCUUAAGGCAUUCAUACCAUGCUCUUGGUGCUUGCUUAAGCCCAUAGAGUGCCUUUUGGAGUUUAUAGACAUGUUUGGAAACUUGGGAUCUUCAAAACCUGGUGGCUGCUCAACAUACACUAACUCUUGUAUAGGGCCGUUGAGGAAUGCACUCUUGACAUCCAUUUGGAACAGCUUGAAGUCAUGAUGGACAGCAAACGCCAAAAGCAUUCGAAUUGCUUCAAGCCUUGCCACUGGAGCAAAGGUCUCUUCAAAGUCCAAGCCCUCUACUUGAGUGUAACCUUGAGCCACCAAUCUUGCCUUGUUCCUUGUCACCACGCCGUUCUCAUCUUGCUUGUUGCGAAAGACCAAUUUGGUGCCAAUCACAUUGGUAUUGGGCCUUUCAACGAGAGUCCACACUUGGUUUCUCUCGAAGUUGUUGAGCUCUUCUUGCAUGGCCAAGACCCAGUCCUCAUCUACCAACGCCUUCUCUACCUUAUCUGGUUCAAUGGAAGACACAAAAGAGAAAUGUUGACAGAAACUUGCUAAAUGUGAACGUGUCAACACUCCCUUUUGAAGACUUCCAAGGAUGUUAUCGGCAGGAUGAUCUCUUUGAAUUGUUUGGCGUAGUCUUGGAUGCUCAACACCGUCUUGUUCUUCAUCUAACUCUUCAUCAGCUUCAAGCUCAAAAACUGGUGCAAGAUCUAGCCCUUGAGGUGUUGAGGAGGUUGCUGCUGCUGAGGGAGGGGCGGCACUGCCGCCCUGUUGCUGAGCAGCAGGUGUGGCUGACACAUUUGCAUCGAGUGCAUCAGCGGAAGACUUGUCAGCAGCAUAUUGGGGAUCCUCCUGAGCAGUGGCUUUUUCUUCUUGUGGCCUUAUGUCACCAAGAGCCAAUUGCUUGAUUGCCUCACAUGGUGGAUCCUCCUUUCCUGCAACACUUUCAUCAAUAUGCUCUACUUGAGAGCCGUUAGACUCAUCAAAUGAGACAUCUACAACAACUUCAACUCUACCAGAGGUUUUGUUGUAGAUGCGGUAGGCAUGCUCAUUUGAUCCAUAACCAAGAAGAAUACCUUCAUCAACUUUAGGUGCAAACUUAGAGGUUUUGGGCCUUUUAUUGAGUAUGAAGCACUUGCACCCAAACACUCUAAAGUAUGACACCUUUGGUUUGUUACCGGUUAGCAGCUCAUAUGAAGUCUUCUUGAGUUUCUUAUGUAGGUAGAGACGGUUGAUUGCAUGGCAAGCGGUGUUGAUUGCUUCGCACCAAAAUAGGUCCGAAGUCUUAUACUCAUCAAGCAUUGUUCUUGCCAUGUCAAUGAGUGUUCUAUUCUUCCUUUCUACUACACCAUUUUGCUGCGGGGUGUAUGGAGUUGAAAACUCAUGCUUGAUGCCUUCAUCAUCAAGAAAUUCUUCAACUUGGGUGUUUUUGAACUCGCUGCCAUUAUCACUUCUUAUUUUCUUGAUGGGCAGCCCAAACUCUCUUUGUGCUCUUCUCACAAAGAUCUUUACUUUCUCUUGUACCUGAGAUUUCUCAAAGACAAAGAAUACCCAAGUGAAGCGAGAAUAAUCAUCAACAAUAACUAAUCCAUAUUUGUUACCCCCGAUGCUUAGGUAGGCGACCGGUCCAAAGAGGUCCAUAUGUAUCAACUCCAAUGGUUGAGUGGUCGUCAUGAUACUCUUUGGUGGGUGUGGUACACCUACUUGUUUCCCAGCUUGGCAAGCACCACAUAUCCUGUCUUUCUCAAAUUCAACAUUUGUUAGUCCAAUGAUGUGGUUGUCCUUUUGGAGUUUGGCCAAGUUCCUCAUGCCAACAUGUGCUAGACGGCGAUGCCAUAACCAGCCCAUGCUAGAUUUUGCCAUUAAACAAGUCUCAAGCUUGGCCUUACUUUUGUUGAAAUCAACUAAGUAAAGCUUGCCCUUCAAGCGACCCGUAAAGACAAUAGAGGAAUCCUCCCUCUUAAAGACUUCCACACUUUUCUCCGUAAAGAGACAAUUGUAACCCGCCUCACACAAUUGUGAAACUGAUAACAAGUUGUAACCCAACGGAUCCACAUGCAAGACAUUUGAAAUGGAAGAAUUUGUUGUGAUAGCAACCUUACCAAGACCGACAACUUCUCCCUUGGAGUUAUCACCAAAUAUGAUAGAUUCUUUUGAGUUUGUAGUUGGGGAAUAUGUUGAGAACAUACUCUUCUCUCCGGUCAUAUGAUUUGUACAGCCACUGUCAAGCAUCCAACUUGACCCACCGGAGGAGUAUGCCUGCAAAACAAGUUUAGUUCCUUGGUUUAGGUCCCCAAUUUUUCUUGGGGCCUUGCAUGUUAGUCACAAAAACUUUAGGAACCCAAAUGGAAGUGUUAAGAUACAUAUUUCUGCCCUUGCCAACAUAUUUGGCAAUCACUUCCCCUUUGCUGUUAUUUUUCAACACAAAGGAAGUGUUCAUAAUUGGGCUUUGUGUCUUUGCCUUUGGUUGAUAGAAACUUUUCUUUGGAGUCCCCCUGUUCUGCUUUCUGGGUUGCUGGAACUCCCCCUGAGGCUUGCAUACCUUCUUUUGUGCUUUCACAGGCUCAGGUUUGAGGUUGGUAGCCUUCGCUUGUCUGGGGAGGGCGGCACUGUCGCCCUUCAGGGCCUCACUGCCGCCCUUGGCUAGCCAGUGGGCUCGGGGCUGCUUUUGUGCCCCCUUCUGUGCAGGCUGCUCUGGACCAACCUUACCUUUGCUCGUGAAUUUAACACACUCAAUGCCAUUCACCAGGUUUCUUCCAUUGGUCUUUCCUCCUUUUGUCUGGCCAAGUCCAUCCUUGACUUUGGGAUUUCUCCCAUCCUUGUAGUUUGGCCUAUUUUGCUGAACUUCUUUACCUUGUGGUUUGUUCUCACACUUGGUGUUCAACAGAUGUGUGAGCCUCGUGAUCUCCUUUUUCAUAGCCUCCAUGUUUGCAAGAUUAGUGGAAUACAUGUUUAAGUCAAGAUUAUUGCAUUUUCCACAACUUCCACUCGUGGAGGGAGUACUAGUCUCAUUUGACUUAGAGGACUGUGAGGUACUCUCCCAAAGAAGAUUAUAUUGUUGCUCAAGUCCUUUAUGCUUUUCAUCUAAGCCAUAAUACUUUUGCUUGAGUGCAUCUACUUCCUUCUUUGUGAGAGUGUGACUUUCUUUUUCUUUCUUUAUACUUUCCUUUAGUGCAGCCACCUCACUCUCCAAUGAGACAAUUUCUUUAAUUUGAGCCAGAUUUUUCUCAGCUUGCGCCUUGAUGUCAUCGUUUCUUAAAUCAAUUUCAUUAUUGAGAUCUAGUACUUCCUUCAUUAGCCUAGAGAUGUAGACUUUAGUUUUAUGAUCACAUUUUUUUGUCAUUUCAUUAAAUUCAUCAUCACUAGAGUCAUCAUCACUAGAGGAGUCACUUAGUUCACUACUAGAGAUUUCUUUGGGGAUUGGAGAAGAUUUGGAUUUGGUUUGUACCUUCCCACCCUUUGCCAUAAGACAAAUGUGGGGGCUGCCAUCUUGCUCAUCAUCGGUCAUGUUGUCGAAGAGCCUUGGUGAAGAUGUUGACUUGAGGACAGCCAUGGUAGCCACCUUCUCAUCUCCACUUGAGGUCUCUUGAGUUGAGUCCCAUUCAUGCCCGAUGUGUGCUUCUCCAACCCUCUUGUAAUUUCUCCUAUUGUCAUGCCUUUGUUCCUUCUUUUUCUUUGCCUCUGGACAUUCUGCAACAAGAUGCUCGGUGCUGCCACAGUUAAAGCACAAUCUCUUCUUCUUGUUUUGAAACUUCCUUGGAGUGAACUUGAAUCCAUGUUGCUUCAGCCCCCGUCUAUUCUUGCUUAUGAAGAGGGCAAUAUCAUCUAUCUUCUAAUCACCAUCAUCACCAUCACUAUCACUAGAGGGUGAAGAUGGAUCACAUUCUUGAACUUGCUUUGCUUUCUUGGGCUGACUUGUUGAUACUUGCUUGCUGCUCUUGGAUUUGCUGCAGCCACCUUGCUUGUUUGAUUGCUUUGUCUUGAGUGCUAUAUCAUUGACCUUCAUGCCUUCUAACUUGGCUUGCAGCUCGCCAAGCUUUCUUCUCUCAUUAGGCUCUUCUCUUUGCAUGUCAAAAGUCAACAAUCUUCCAAGCACAUCACUUGGGGUAAAGUGCUCAAAAUUCUUCUUGUCUCUAAUGAGAGUGACCACGGUCUCAUUCCUUAGUGAGUAUGCUUCCAACAUUACUUUCACAACUUUAUGAUCAUCAAGGUCACCACCAUAGCCUCUAAUUUUUCCAACUAGCACCAUCAACCUAUCAAACAUUUCUUGUGGCCCUUCAUCACGAACAAUCACAAACCUAUUGAGCUUGUCCAUCAUCAAAUCAAUUUUGGCCUUCCUCACUUUGUCAACACCUUCAUGAGCUAAAACCAAAGUAUCCCAAAUCUGUUUGGCCACAUUCACAUUCAUCACUCGGUUGUACUCAUUUCCAUUGAGAGCACUAAGGAGAAUGCUUGUGGCUUGAUUAUUGAAGUGGACAGCAAUUAUUUCUUCAUUUGUUGGAUUCUCUGGAUCUGCAGGUUCCUGAAAUCCAUCACAAACAACAUCCCAAAGACCGGGGUGAAGAGCUCCAAGAUAGCGACUCAUCAAAUGCUUCCACUUAGCAAAGUCGGUCCCAUCGAAAUGAGGCAACUUGCCAGCGGGCACGUUGACAAGACACUUCUUGUCUCGGUUAGACAAAUAAGAAUAGUUAAAGGAUACAACGGAGUAUUUCUUUUUGCUGCUGUUGUCCUCCUUCGUUGAUUUUCCCUUCUUGUCCUUCUUGGAGCGGUUAUAUGAUUCAUCAUCAUCACCAUCAUCCGUACUAGAUGAUAGCUCACUUGAUGAUGCAUCAUACACCUCCUUUUCUUUCUUCUUCUCUUCUUCUUUCUUUGCUGCCAUUCUUUUGGCUCGCUCUUCUCUUUUGGCUUUUCUUUCUUCUUUUCUCUUCUUCCUGGCAGCUAGCUUUUCAUCUUCUUUUCUUUUUGCUUUAGCUUCUCUUCUUGCUUGCCUCCUUUGCCUUCUCUCGGGGUCGGUAGUCAUACCACCAUCAGGAUUGAGGGUGGAGUUGCUGGCUGUUGAUACUGAUAGCUCACUGCUAUCACUCUCAACUAGCACAUCCUCAGCUUGUGCAGCUGGAAUGGACUUAUCCUUCGCCCCCGAGCUUCCCGCAACUUCCAUACUUCACGCGGUGAAGCGUAUACGAAGCAACUUAGCUCUGAUACCACUUGUAGGAUCUCUGGACGUACAGGAAGUGGCCUAGAGGGGGGUGAAUAGGCCUGUUCAAACUUUUUCAGUAGAGUUUAUCUGUCACAUAGGCAAGGGCGGCAGUGAGGCCCUCCCAGGGCGGCACGCCGGCCUCAACAGAAAAACAGACAGAAGCUUAACUGAAUGAUUCAAACUUUACCCAGGGAAAUUUAGAUCGAUUAAAUUUCCAAGCUUCCUGCAAGAUAUUAGAGCACGAGUAUGUAGCUAGAAUGUGCUGGAGCCUCCCCACUAAGUAGAUCGGCCUCAAAUCCUAACACAAACUCAUACACAAGUGAAAGCACACAAGACACACGAUUUUUACCGUGGUUCAGCUGUUGCUACAACAAGGCUUGGCCUACUCCACGUUGUUGAGGCGCCCACACUAGGACUGGCUUAGCCACACAAGCUUACCUUCUCCUCGUUCUCAAAGCAAGGAUUUUACCCCUUGCAAAGAGUGAAGAAUGUAUUAGCUGCAAGGGUAACCUUACAAACCUUCCCUUGGCUGCCACACACGUUGGCAAGCUCUAGGGCGACGCCUAGCCGGCUAGGAGCAAGCUCCAAGAGUAACAAACUCAAGGCUGCCGGCCAAACGUGAACGAAAAGCUCUUUUUGACACUAGGAAUCAAUGGAUCUGCUCUCCAAUCGAAGUUUGCUGCCUUUUCCCUCAAGUUUUGAUGGUUGGAAUCAAGGAUUGGCUUGGGGGCUUGAGGAGCAACAAUGGAGGGAGAGAGAGGUGAGCUCUGGUCAGUUUGCAACGGUUGGGAGCAAGGAAGACGAGGAGAUGACCAUUUGAAUCGGUCUGAAUGGGUAUUUAUACCUAGCUCUCCAACUGUCACAGGGUAGGGCGGCAGUGCCGCCCUUAAGGGGCGGCAGUGCCGCCCUUGCCUGAACCAGCCUGAAAACACCAAAGUGUACAGAGAAAGAUUUGCUGGCUAGGCUUGGGUCUGAGCAUGUUGAGAAGCUUUUGAGCCUUUGGUUCACAAUUUUGAUCAACAAACUUGGAGUCCCUCUUUAUAGAACGGCUUUUCCUAUACUCAAAUUCAAACCAAAAAUGAAUUAAACCUCCUUUGGAGCUAGGAAAACCAUCCUUUAGAAAUGGGGGAUCCUCCAUGGUAUUCAACAACCUCUUUGCUAUAUUCCCUGCUUGUAAUCUCAGCAAAUCUCAUUAGUUCCCUAAUUCGGUGGUCAUCAACGCCAAAACCCAUAAUAGGCUUGAUUUGCACUUACACUCUCAUCAGUAUCAGUCUCUAUCACUACGAAGUCUGCUGGAGCGUAUAAGGUACCAACUCUGACGUAGAGGUUCUUCAAUAUUCCCUUUGGGAAACUUAGUGUCUGAUCUGAAGCUGCAAACACAUGGUUGUUUCUAGGAAAGGAUGUGUAAAUAAUUUUUCAUAGAGUACCCUGGGCAUAAUGUUGACGUUGGAGCCAAAGUCGCAGAGUGCUUCUGGGAAGUUCACCAUGCCGAUGGAGAUCGGGAUGACGGUGCGUCCUGGAUCGCCUCUCUUGACCGGCAGAAGGUAAGUAAUUAGUUCCACAACGGGGUUACCCCAGUAGUUACGUCCUCAAGCAUCUCAGGGCAUUGAUUGCCUGAGUGUCGAGUAUCUCCAUUGUGUUUGUGCUCGUAGAUCUAGGUUCUUCACUUGGUGGAGUCUGGGAGUUGUAAAACUCCUUCAUAUUUUGCUCGAAGUGUACCUGCUUAUAGAGACAAGGCAGAUAUCAAGUGCAUGGGCCCUGUUGGUGGAAAACACCAACAGAACCAAAAGUGUAUUUGUUCUCUCUAACCUUAAGCAUAAUGAGCAAGACAAAGUUGAUGGAUAAUAAGAUCAUGAGUGUAACAUUAAAAACAUUUGUCAGAUCAGAUCGCUCAACCAAAUGGAAAGAUAAUCUAUCAAUAUUUAUGUUGUUUUUUUAUAAAAUAUAUCUUCCAAACAUUGAGUGUGCAACAUUUUAGCUUAUGUGAUUAGGAGUGUGGGCUCACUAAGGUAGUACUAUAAACAAAGAUUAAAGGACUAAACAUGCUGAAUUAAUUGGGUUGGUUAUUUUAGAGUUAUAAAUCAUACAUAUUUGUCUCUUUUAUUCAUGUGAAUGCCAGAACCAAGGAGAAGCUUAUAAAAAUGAUAGUCAAGUACCUUAAGAUGUUACCUUACUUGAAGAGUGAUGGUACAGUAUCACCUUGUGGUAGCUUUCCUUUCUUAGCGGUUGUGCACCGUGUUUGUAGCACCCUCCAUGGAUCAUCUCUUGUGUGCUAUGCCUUCCUUGUGUGAAUUGUUAACCUUUAUGUGUCUCUCUCUUUGUCUCCAAUGUGGGUUUAUCUCAGGACUUCCCAGGUCGAUAUUGAAAGUUUUCCUGCAGGGGUUAGUCCAACAAAAUAUCCAAUAUCUACUAUAGCAUACUAUCGGCUCAAAGAUCAACCUAGACACCAUGUCUAAUUUGAUUUAGGUGGGCAUUUUAACCUAAGCAUCAUGCUUAAUUUAAACUCCCUUGGAAGUAAGAUCACCAUUCCUAAACUAAGCACCAUGCUUAAUUAAGAGAUAAAUGAAACUACUCCAAACCUAGACAUAUACUAAAGUAAAUAAAGGUUGCAUGAGAGCAUUUAUAGAGAUCUACUCAAGCGGAGAUGAAGUAGUGUGAUUAGUACUUAACAAAUUGAGCAUGUCUCAAAGGUAGGGACAACCAACAUAGCAACAUGGCAAAGCAUGUUUGUAUGUAAAGUACUCCCCCAAGCUUGAAUUUUGCAAAAUUCAAGUUUGGAUGAAUUUAAUUCAAUGUUGUAUGAUGAUUGGUUGGACAUACCUUGUGCUGGUCAUUCAUCUGAUCUUCUUGCUCCAAUCCUGGAAAGUUUAGUGACAAGAAUACCCGAAGGAAUUUUUUACAAUUAUCCUGAUAUGCUCAACACACAAGGUAAUGUUGCAAAUAAUUAAAAGCUCAUGUUACGAUCUGAUCAGUGCUUAUUUUAGGACACUAAGCUUGUCCUUGGGAAACCAUCAAUUUAUGUCGGUGAGGUGGUUUCCCCUCCAACACUGACCUAUAUCAAGAUCAACUCAACGAGAUCUGCAAUAUUUAAUAUAGACAUAUGCAUCGACAACCGCCCUUUUAAAGUUUUUAUAAAUAGAAAGGAUGAGGGGGUUGGAGAUCUCGAAUGUGGUGAUGUUGGAAAAACCAAUGGAUUGGGAAGAUGUUACAUAUGAGCAUGGAGUAAAUGAAGUGGCUAUGAAAUAAAUUCCAUGCUCAUUAAUGCUUAGAGUGAAAUCCAUGUGGUAUGGUGAAAAUGAUAAGGUGAGUAUGGUAAAAAAGGAAAAGAAAAAGGAUACACGGACGACUUGGUUCGAAACUAGCACAGCUACCGUUCCCCGACAACGGCGCGAGAAAGCUUGUUAGGUAUUUUAAACGCAAACAGAAAAAUCCGCAAGCGCAUGGAUACCGAUGUAGCUUUCACCAGGGAGUAUUCCAGAGUAUCGAUUUUCCACAGAGAACGUGAGUGUACUAAUUAAGAUCCAAGAUCGCCCAAGGAUAACUAUAUAAUUAUUUUUGGUGGGAAGAGAGGAAGUUUCCUGAGAGUUCUCUAGUUGAUCUAAGAAUCAAGAAUUACUUCAAGAUUAUCUAUUUUGGGACAUCAGAGCACUAACCACAGAAAGAGAUGAGAAUGGGGCUAGGAAGGUCUGACUACGGUCCUACAAACACCGAUCCGAACGAGGUGGAAUACGUCGACCGUUAGGGCUGUCACUACCCUAAGGCUACCACAACAAUCCGCAGGAUUGGGUGCAAUUCCAGGUAAUUGCAAGACUAAACACCACGUCUAAUCUAUUAAUUACUACUCUAGCGUUAUAAAGACUAGAGCACUUGAUGCAAGCGGGAAUUCAAUAAAUAACUUGAAUGUAAAUAAAAGUAAUUAGAGAACUCAGGAAUUAUGAAUUGAAGAAUAUGGAGAACGAUGAAGAACGAACUAGUUGCUGCAAAAGUACAAUGUUGAGGAAGAUCCGACACAUCCGGCUCCUCCUCCUCCGCUCUCCUCUUCUCUCUCCCUAUUUUCUAGAUUACAACUAGAACUAACUAGAACUAGAACUAGAGGAACUAGAACUAGAACUUGAUGAACUAGAACUAGAUCUAGAUGAACUAGAGGUAGAACUAGAAGAACUAGAGGGAUCCUCUCUACUUGGAUGAAGAAUUGAAACCCUAACUUUGAUUCUGUAGAAGAGGUAUGAUCUCCAGGGGCCAGGGGGCCUUGCUUAUAUAGUCUUUUCAGAUGAAUCUGGGCCGUCGGAUCAAACCAACAUUAGUUGCACGGUUUUCCUUGGUCCCUUAGGUCGAUGGAACACGAUCCACGAAGUUGAAGCUGAUUGGUUACUGUAGCUGGGCGGGCACCCAAGGGGGGAGGGCGGGCGCCCUGCCCCCGGGCCCGAUCGGCCUCCCGUUCGUUCCCGUGGCUUCUGGAGUCUUCUAGAUGGUAGAAAAUUGCGCGGCACGUUAAUAUCUCUAUGUAAACCCGACGUGUGGGCCUUUCUUUCAUAUUUCCUGAUAACCCCCUGCAGAAAUAGACAAACACCAAAACUCGUGGAAUUCUGUCAGAUAAAACCCUAAGUCUAGGUGUUAGUUGCAUUUGGAUCCUUUUCCAUGAUUAGUUGAUGGUUAAAUGUGAGCAUUAAGGACCGUCAACAAGCUACCCCAAGCUUAACCUUUGCUCGUCCCUAAGCAAAGAUGAACUCAAGAGUUUCUGCAGUGGUUUCAUGCCUUAAAAAUACACAUUCGUUCAAACAAGAUCUCAUCUCUGGAUUAGGGUAAACUGUUAAGAUUUAAAACUUACUCAUUUUACCUUUCACCAUGGGGCUUGCAACCAUCACUUGUGUCUUGAGUAGUUAAAAGAUAGAACGGUCUAGUCAAGUGCCAUGUCUCUUGUUCUUCGAUUAACUAUAGCUCUGGAGUUUUUGUAGAUUUUCAAAUAAAACUCAGAGAUUCCUUGUAUCACUCUCUUAUAUCUCUCUUUUGUGGUAUUUCUGGAUCCUUACCAAGGCAGUAAAGGUGUAUGCCUUCUCUGAAAGUAUAUGGUAUUUUUGGUAUGAGGCAUAGUGGCAUUGCCUUCUCUCUCACCCUACUCUAAUAAGGUUUUGAUAUCUGGAGCUCAUAGGUGGGAGACAGCUAAAACAUACUUACAAGACAUUUAUUGCAUAGUCAAACCAUGGAUCCAAAAGAACAAGUCAAUAAGUCAAAUCAAGAUGUGCAUGUGUGGCGAAUGAAUGGUGUAUGGUAAUGAUGGUGACAACAAUGGUGAAAGUCUAAUUCUACUUGUGCUCUUUUGAGGGGAUACAUACCUUUCUUGCUCUUUUGAAACUUUUUGAGGAGAAUGAGAUGCUCUAUAUUUUCUUUUUCUUUUCUCUCAGGUGGGUAUCUUGUACCCCUAAUUCUACUUUCGGACACUUGUCCAUUUUUACCUCUCGUCUCACUUUUUCUUUUCUUUCGAGGUUCCGGGCACUUGCCCCUUUUUAUUUCCUCGUAUAUCUUUUUUUUCUCUCUUUUUUUAGAGCACUCAUCUCCUGAAAUAAUAUAGCAAGUGGUAGUAACAAGAUAACUUGAGCAUUUAUUUCAAAGGGAAAAACAAAAAUGGUUUUGGCUAUUCUCUCCCGGAUUAGGAGUAGAAUAUUUUUAGGUGAUUCUAGAGAUGGGAAUGGGUGGAUAUAUGUGGAUGCGUACUUCCGGAGUAGAAGCAGCAUGUGUGAGUGAACGUGCAAGUGAGUCUUGACUUAACCACAUGACAAGCUCCUAAGGGUCUACACAGCUUGACCACACUCAAUGCUCAUAAGCAGUAAAAAAAAUAAAUGUGUGGCUCAAAGUCUAGCAAGCAUGUAUAUAUGGCUGUGGUAGGAAUUUAAACUCUCAUCAUACAGGAACUCAUCAUGUGAUAUUUUAAAGAUUUUCAAAGAUAAAAUUCUCCAGAAUUCUAGCAUCUCUAGGAACAGAUAAACAACAGCUCAACCUCCCCAUAUCGUAUCCGUUAACAACUUAGACAUUAGAUCAAGUACUCUUCCCACAAGUUCAGGUUUAGAGCAAAUCUUAAUUAAUAACAGUCAUGCCUAAACUUGAGAGAGAUUUCAAUUUUGAGAACUAGUCAUGGCAGAGCAACUAUUCAUCAUUUCCAUGUGAUAGCUUAUCAUGAGGGUUCAUAGCAAUCUUUAUUUAUUUAUUUAUUUAGCAAACUAAGCAAAGAUAUAUAUAUAUAAGCAUAAAAUCUUUAUUUGGGUUUUUAUGAUUAUGCAUCUUUUUUAUUAGUUGAGUAAAGUAUAAACAUGAGUAGAAUACUUAGCUGGAUAAAUGGGAGUGCUCUCCCCCAAGCUGGAUUUUGACGUAAUUCCUUCUGAUGUAGCUAGCAGGUGGCAAAGGUGUAUUUGAAUGUUGGCAGCACCCUAACAGCGAUUAGGAUGUCCUCCGUCUGCUAGUCUUCUUUGAUCCUUAAAUUCUGUGGAGCUCAAAUAGACAACAAAGCUUUGUGGAACUCACAGCAAGGCGUUCAGUGUUUUUAAGUCCUCCGAACGGGACUCUCCAUUUUCUCAGUCGUCCUGGGAUUCGCUGGAUGGCGUAGUCGGUGGUUCCGGCGGCGCCUCCUCUUCGUGUAUAGUUAUCUUCUCUCUACACACCUGACUCGGUGCUACGGUCUCCUCAGGACAGUUCUGUUCAAGCUGUAUGUCUUCAGACCUUACAACUUCUCCAUCAUAGUCUACCCAUCCGUCCUUGAUGAUUUUGCCUUCUCUGGUUGCGGUUGCGUCGUCUCCUUCUUGUCCUGACCUGCUUAGAGUCUUCAACUAUAUAGUUAGGGUCAGAAAAAUAGCGGCGUACCUUCUCAGAGGGGAAGUUCAUGUGGACUUCUCCAGUUCCAAUGUAGAUGAUUAUUUUAACGGUGCUGAGGAACUGUCUCCCAAGGAUGAUGGGUGGAUCGUACUCGUCUUCUCCCAUGUCAAUAACCUUAAAAUCAUCUGGAGCUGAAUGUAUGUUGGUUGUAGGGGCAUGGUUCCAUAUAGGAGCUGAUAAGUGACUGCGGCCAUUAUGUUGACGUCAGAUCCGGUGUCGUAAAGUGUCUUCUGAAAAGAAUAUCCGUUGAUUGUGCACUUGAUGCUUGGAACACCAGGGUCGUCCUUCUUGAUCAAGAAAGGCGACUUGAGUUGACGAUCUUGACCUUCUUGAGCUACAGUGACCAUCUUAGCUGACUCAGUCCACAUUUGCUUGUUUCUGUUCCUCCUGUUGGUCCUCUUCCUUGGUUCA